GGACUGGUUAGCUCAGUCGGUUGAGCAUGGUGCUGAUAACACCAGGGUUGUGAGUUCAAUUCCCAUUUGGUCUC
rnacentral:tRNA from 1 species